GCUCUGGAGGCCGUUGCCAGCAACGUGUCUCCCUAACAUUUUACCUUUGCGCUGGAAUGGGUGGAUACAGGAAGGUUGAAGCAAAUUUAGGUUUGGCUAGAGCCCUGUCAAGUCCCCCUCUAACGCUGCCACUCAUCUCGGUGAGAGUAACAGUCCUCAGCUGUCCUACCGCUCAAUCUCAGGACAGAGCUGAAGUGAUUCUCCACCAGUUCUCCCUUGCAGGAAACACAACCCAAGAACAUCAAGCGAGUGGCAGGGAAUGUAAAGGUCUCCCCUAACCAGAAUGCUCACAUUCGCUGAAGCAAGGUAGAGAGCAAUGACCAGGAACGUGGAAAGUGAUGUGGAAAGAAGAGGGAUGAGGACUGAGUUUCUCUGGUUACACGCCUCUGGAAAGUUGGUUGUCUAGAUUGCUCAGGUCCAUUUCUUCCAGAUCCUCUUCCUGGGGCUGAGCCUCUUGCCCUGCUCCGCUCCACUGGCCUGGAGGAGUCUUCUGCAAGCACUCGAAAUAACCCAAGAAAGAGUCUUCACUUCACAAAUCUCCACUGAUGCGUGAGCACUUGCUCUCCCUGCCUCCCGCUACCAUCUGCUCUACAUCACCCCCAGUGGACGAACAGUGACGAACAGAAAUGGAUUCAGCACCUAUGGAUCAACAGGCUGGUUACACCCAUUUCCGCAUCACUUUAGUACCACAGUAGGAGUCUCUUGGACUACUCCCACAUCUCCUCUCUUGCAGGCUUUUGAGACCAAGCCUGUUGGGAUGCACACCUGCCCAGAUGUGACCAAGCUGGCUGAGAGUCACUGCUGUCUGCUGAGUUGGGGUGCAGGGCUCCGUCCGGGU